AUUGAACGCUGGCGGCAUGCCUUACACAUGCAAGUCGAACGGUAACAGGUCUUCGGAUGCUGACGAGUGGCGAACGGGUGAGUAAUACAUCGGAACGUGCCCAGACGUUGGGGAUAACGAGGCGAAAGCUUUGCUAAUACCGCAUACGAUCUAAGGAUGAAAGCAGGGGACCGCAAGGCCUUGCGCGUUUGGAGCGGCCGAUGGCAGAUUAGGUAGUUGGUGGGAUAAAAGCUUACCAAGCCGACGAUCUGUAGCUGGUCUGAGAGGACGACCAGCCACACUGGGACUGAGACACGGCCCAGACUCCUACGGGAGGCAGCAGUGGGGAAUUUUGGACAAUGGGCGAAAGCCUGAUCCAGCAAUGCCGCGUGCAGGAUGAAGGCCUUCGGGUUGUAAACUGCUUUUGUACGGAACGAAAAGGCUCUGGCUAAUACCUGGGGCACAUGACGGUACCGUAAGAAUAAGCACCGGCUAACUACGUG
rnacentral:rRNA from 1 species